rnacentral:tRNA from 1 species
GCGGGCAUAGUAUAAUGGUUAUUACGUCAGCCUUCCAAGCUAACUAUGUGGGUUCGAUCCCCACUGCCCGCUCCC